rnacentral:tRNA from 1 species
GGAGAGGUGUCUGAGCGGUUGAAAGAGCACGCUUGGAAGGCGUGUGCUUCGCUCUGCGGAGCCGAGAGUUCGAAUCUCUCCCUCUCCG